rnacentral:rRNA from 1 species
CCUACGGGAGGCAGCAGUGGGGAAUAUUGCACAAUGGGGGAAACCCUGAUGCAGCGACGCCGCGUGAGUGAAGAAGUAUUUCGGUAUGUAAAGCUCUAUCAGCAGGGAAGAAAAUGACGGUACCUGAUUAAGAAGCCCCGGCUAACUACGUGCCAGCAGCCGCGGUAAUACGGAGGGGGCAAGCGUUAUCCGGAUUUACUGGGUGUAAAGGGAGCGUAUACGGCAGCACAAGUCUGGCGUGAAAUGCCGGGGCUUAACCCCGGAACCGCUUUGGAAACUGUGCAGCUAGAGUGCAGGAGAGGUAAGUGGAAUUCGUAGUGUAGCGGUGAAAUGCGUAGAUAUUAGGAGGAACACCAGUGGCGAAGGCGGCUUACUGGAGUGUAACUGACGUUGAGGCUCGAAAGCGUGGGGAGCGAACAGGAUUAGAUACCCGUGUAGUC